rnacentral:lncRNA from 1 species
AUGCAAUUCAGCCAUGUAGAUAUCCCAGGAAACCUAGGCAUCAGCACAAAAUUGACUCCUCAUUUCCUUGAAGGGGUAUUAAGAGGCUGGAACCCUCAUGGCAAUAUCAGUCACAGGAUUUACCUCGUGGUGCAAUGGCUUCUUAAAGAAUUAAUGCUGAUGAUAAAUCACUUAAGUAAGUGUCCUACUUUGUUACACUAUGGACUGAAGUCUGCCUUGCUUCUCUGUCCAUGGGAUUCUCCAGGUAAGAAUACUGGAUUGGGUUGCCAUGCCUUUCUCCAGGGGAUCCUCCCAACCCAGAGAUUAAACCCACGUCUCUUAGGUCUCUUGCCUUGGCAUGUGGGUUCCUUACCACUAGAGACACCUGGAAAGCCACUAAUGGAUUAAGAGUAAUACUGUUAGUCGUUCAGUCAUGUCCGACUCUUUGCAACCCCGCAGACUUUAUAGCCCGCCAGGCUCCUCUGCCUAUGGGAUUCACCAGACAAGAAUACUAGAGUGGGUUAUCAUUUCCUUCUCCAGGGGAUCUUUCCAAUCCAGGAUUGAACCUGGAUCUCUUAUACUGCAGGCAGAUUCUUGAAUAGGUAAAUACAAAUACACUCAGGAGUGGUAUGCUGCUUUCUUGGGAGGAGGUACAAAACUUCUAUUGACCUGCACUGUAAGUGAUGCUCUUUGAAAAAUUUCUCCAGUGCCUAUGUUUUCUAUAAUAUUAUCUUGGGAUUUUACUUAAUUUUUUAAUCAGUAUCCUCUCACAUGUAGGAGAUACUAUUUUAUAUUUGUCUUCCACCUAUCUGUAGUCUUACUAUAUGACUGAUCUUGUUACUUCUACCCCUAACCUAUAACGAUGAGGAAAAGCUUAGCAGUUGUUGAAUAUAGGCCUCAUUUUGGAAAAAAGAAUCCACUUGGAUUAUUUGGGUAGACAAAAUAUUUCAAAAAAAGGAAAAAUGAUAUAAUAAAACUUUU